AGGAACGGGUGGAGCAGAUACAGUGCCAA
rnacentral:piRNA from 1 species